rnacentral:sRNA from 1 species
UAUGGUAGAUAAGUAGCUUCUCUCGUCGUUUCAAGAUGCUUAAAUAAGUAGUAUCUUCUGACUUUCUGAUUCCCUCAAUUAACUGAAAGAAUGGUUCAAGGAUUUGUUAGCUCUUAGGAUACAUUAUAUAUAAGCCGUUUGAAAAACAACUAGGUAUGUUCGACCAAGUAGUACGAAAAACUAACUCCUAACUAAACGAGAAAAAAACAUUAAGAGAAUGAGAGUUCCAACAUGAUUUCUAUUAUUCUUGUAUGAAUGAGUUUAUGAGAAUUUGGAAUAAUUCAUGAAUCUACCCAAAUUUUCAUUAUAUAUGGAUUUAUGAAACUUGGUAAUUGAUA